ACCUCUCGUGACCUCACCUAACCUCUGCUCACCUCUUCUGACUUGACCUGACCUCUCCAGGGGCGGCGUCAGCAUAGAGAUAGAGAAGACCCCCACAAGGACCACCUCCAAAUUGUUCCUGACGAGGGCGAUGAAGGAUGACUCCGGCAACUACACUUGUGCCCCGCAGUUCGCUGACGCCGCUUCUGUCCUCGUUCACGUCGUCAAUGGGGAAGAGUCAGCCGCUGUCCACACCGCGAGAAGUGCAGAAGUCACGAGCAGCUGGUUGGUGGUGACCUGCUGCCAGCUGUUGUUGAUGCUGUGUUGCUGCUGCAGCUGACCCAAUACCGCUGGGAUCAGAGCGUUGAUGUACUGAUACUCCGAGUCUUCACCGAGACACUGUACAGGUGGGUGUAAGUGGUGAUGGUGUAGGUGGUGA